UUGGAUGGAUGAAUGACUAAGAUGCAUGCAUACUAAACUUAAUUAGUAUGAACACAACCCAAAAUAUGUCAUUCAAACUUCAUACUACAGAGGAAACACACCACAUGUUUUUUGAUCAUUUUUUUAUCUAGAACUUUAAUAGGGAGUUAAAUUUGACAAAAUGUAUUGAAUUUACCCAGAACAGGUGUCAAAUUUAAACAAUAUAUUGGUAUCAGUUGAAAUAUAAUAUCCUUUCAUCAUUUUAUAGUCAAGGGAUUGUUAGGUCAAGGAACUCCUUAAGAGGAGUCACAUCAGGUUAUUGUGUGUCCAAAGAGAUUGUUUAGACUCUGCCGUACAUCGUUGUAGUAUUUGUCCUGACAUCAACCCAGGACAACAUUUGAAGCAAAAUGGUUUCAAGUUUCUUGUGUACUUCACUGACAAAUGCCUUAUUCACUUUCAGGUGGAUUUAUCUACAGGUUUGGCAAUUGAAGAGGCAUGCUAUGCUCAGGUGAUCCCAACAAAAGAUCGAUUGGAAGGUUUGGCUGCUUUUAAGGAGAAGAGGCGUCCUCGUUUCAAGGGGGAGUGAGGUCUUGCGAUUCAUUUCAAGAAUUUCUGCUCCAAAAGUUAAUGCAUUCCCACAGCUUUGAACAACCAAACUAUUUCACUGCAAAGACUUUGACUUGAAUGAGUGCGGUAAAGACUUUUUUUUAUCAUAACACAUGCCAUUGUACUUUCAAGUAAAGGUGUGUACCUUAUUUAAUUUUCUUGGAAACAUCUAGUACGUUAUUAAAAAAAUAGAAUUUGAUAUGUGUUUUCCUUCAACAAAUUACACGUCUACUUUUAGACAAUUGGGAACUCAUGGCUUACAGAAAUGGUAAAUAGAAAGUACAUGUCUUUGAUGUGUACAUUUUUAUUGCAAAUUUAGUACAUGGUUUUUCACAAAACUGAUGAGCUGCCAUUUGGAGUUCAGUUUUGUACAUUUUAGGUUAGAUAUGAAUUGUUUAGAACCUGGCAAAGACAAGAUUAUUUAUGUAUUGUAAUGCUGGAACUGAUAAAUGCUGGACCUUCUGUUUUCCAUGACUGUAUUAAUGCAUGAGGCUUAUGUUGUUUUUACAGCUCACAAGGUUUCAUUAUUUUCUUUAUGUAUGAACCAUAUAUGUGUGUACAUGUUGGGUGUUUCAAGUAAAGCUGUUGCUUCAGUUUGCUGGAAAUUAUUUGAAUAUAAUUAAAUUGUCUCUCCUAUUUAGUGCCAAAACUAUAAUGCCAUAUAAUAACCACAUUUUCAAGAUUGUGUUUUGAAAACGCCUAAUGUAAUAGCAGAGGUUGUGGUGAUUGUAAUGAAACAACCCAGGUAAUUAAGAACUUUUGUUUUUCUUUUCCAUUAUUCCUUGGUAUUUUUUGUUGUUUUAAUUUCAAACUGCUUUUGCUAAACUUUUGAAUUAAUGAGUCACAUACCAUGUGAAGACUGACCAUGUAUAGCAGCUGCAAUAAAGUCUAAUAGAAAUGCCUGAUCCUU